rfam:Myotis brandtii contig169937, whole genome shotgun sequence.
AUAUAUUUAAAACUAAAAACAUCACACGUGUAACAUCUGUACUUAUCAAUUUAAUAUGUGAUACGUCCUCUAUCCAAGGACAUUAUAUUAAAUGUAUUUUUGGAGCAGGGAUAUGGAACAGGAGCUUGCUCUGUCCACUCCACGCAUCAAGGUGGUGUUGCAGUACCUUUGGAACGGUGCAAGAAGA